GGGAGUUAAUUGUAACGAAAUAUAGAUAAGAUAUUUGUAUUGUUGACGCAUAGGGAUAGAUAGUUGGAACCAUGUUUGAGAAGUUUAUAGAAGUUUCUAGAAUUAGAACUAGAUUAGUGGACUAUGUAGGAUCUACCAUAGAAUAUUCUAAAAAGAACUUAAGAUACUUAUCUAGGUGGGAUAUACCAUUAAAAAUAUUCUAGAAAGUUCUAAGAUAAUUGAAUAAAAUAUAAAUAGGACUAGCUAGGGCCAUUUGGGCAUUUGAUCAGGUAUGGCUUU
rnacentral:lncRNA from 1 species